ensembl:lncRNA
CUGAGAACGAGCUGCGCUAAUUGACAGCUGUAGAAAUUAUGGGGUCAGCCAUCAUGCUACAACAGCCAUCAAGGAGAGACGGGCUCAGAGUGCCUCGCUCAAGUUAACCCUGGAUACAGAGGGUCUUCCCGAGAAUGUAUCCCUGUGCCUCCAGCCUUGGCUGUUGUUAGCAACUGUGUGAUGGAAAUUGAGCCUGUAAGACAUUGAAGUCUGGUGUCUAUCUAGGGAGAACUAGGUGCGUAUCUGGGUAAAGCCUUGGAAAUGGGUGCUCUGUUGAUAGUGUUUGGAGAAGGAGGGAAGAAUCUUGGCCCCUGUGUUCCUACCAAGGCCAAGGCCAGGUGUGUUUCUGGGCAACUCCUGGGGACAGCUUCCCACCCAGUGCCUUGCCCUGCUGCCUCAGUAAUCUUACAGGAUUAGAGGGCUGGCUCUGCCUACUUCCUUUCAAAGAGCUGUGACAUCAUUGCCUUCUAGCCCCCAAGGCUCCUCCUGUGUGGUGUCAGAGGGAGGAAGGACUGUUGUAACUGAUGAAAAAUCUGACACCCUGGGAGGACAUGCCCUUUCCUCAACUCCAUCCAUCAUGUGUGCUUUGGGGGGGGUGGGGGGGGCGCUGCCACUCAGAUGACAACUUCCACUAGGCAGGGAGUUGAGAGGGGAAAGCUGGGAGCCCAAGCCGGCAUCAUUAGUUGCAGGGGUGAGCUCAGCCUGGGACUAGUGUCAUCCCAGGGGUUUGUAGCUGGAACUUCCCUAUGGGAUCCAACUGUGAGUCACUGUGGUUGGUGUCCCUGCACCGAACUUCUUCUCUAGGUCUCCCACUGUCCCCUGGGACAUCAUGGUCACAGGUCAGGGCUAGUGACUCACUGGCUACCUCAGCCAACUCCAGGGGUGGAGUCUUCUAUUCUCUCACCUCCUGGCAUGUGGACCCUCCUUGGUGUGAUGGCCACAAUUAGGCUGGCUGCUGUCUCAGAAGCUAUGUGCAAAAUGUGUGGGCCAGCAGAAGGCCCUGUCACCCUGGGGUGGCCAAGCAGAAGCCGCAGCAGUGGCAGAUGUGUUCCAGAGGCUAUGUGGGAAGUUCAGGGUGCUCUGUGGGACAGCCAGCUGCAGCCACUGGGGAACACGUGGAAACGACUGUCUGGAGUCACCUCCUGAAGCUGACUACCUGGCACUGUGGCCUCAGUGUCACCUGAGAUACAGCAGGGAAGCUGCUUGGGCCAAGAUGGAGGCUGACCAAGGGCUGUUCCUGCUCACCCAUGCUACUCACCAGAAGCUCUGUGGAAAAGUGGAAACUAUGUCCCUGGUCUUCCUUUCAGGACUUGGCUGAGAUCAGGCUACUUCUUGAGAGGCCUGGAUUCAACUGAGGAAUAUCAUUUUGGAAAAUAUAGAAACUUCUAGACUGUGGAGACACUUGGGAAGGAAUGAUCUGUGUUGACUUGAAUGAAAAAAGACAUCUCUGGAUUUUACCCACAGCUGGUGAAGGCUCACCAUCCCAACUCAUCUUCUGUCGUGUAGAAAAGUCCCUGAUGCCACUACCCAGAAUGCUCUUCUCCACCUGCCCCUGUCCCAGGCACCGCAUCCUUCCCUGCCUGACCCCACCUCACCUUUGGACCCAAAGAUGCUUCUUAUUUGCUCUAUUAUCUUCGAGCCGGAUGCAGAGUGAAUAGUUAACUAUUCUUGAGUUGAAUGGGUCUUGAUUUUUUUUGUUGCUGUUCCUUGUAAAGAGAUCAUUCUCAGUGCAUGGCACGCAGCCUGGAAAAGGUAUGUGACUCCAGAGUGACACGAGAGCCAGCGUGAAGGCCCUGUUAGCUCUUGGAGGCCAGGGAAAGUGGAGACAGCUGAGCCGGGAGUUGAGUAGAGCUGGCGCUGGCUGUGGUCUUGCACUGGUUGGAUCCACAUGCAGGUGUACAUUUGGACUGGUAGAGGUGAAGCCAUUUUCUGUGACACAAAGGGAAUGAGCUAAAAGACCUUCUUCAGAGGUGGCAGUUGGCAAUCAGCUCAUCCAGGGCUGUGUGACUGAGCCGCCAGCUCCAUUGGUGUUGCCUUCUGUGCAUGUCCUCGCUGUCCUGUGUGCUGUCAGCAGCCGGAGCCUUUUCCUCCUCCCUCCUCUGUGGCCUCUACUUGUGCAGUUGGAAAUCCUUCCUAAUCAUGUCAUGACUCCACCUUCUUGACUGUGCACUCGAAGAUGUUUGAGACUUUUUUUUAUUUAUAAAAUGGAUGGAUAGUUUGUUUCCUCGAAUUGUCAUUGGCAUGAUUCUAUGGCUGUGUUCAGUGACUUUACAGUGGGGCAUUGUCUUUGGCCUCUCAGAUUCUCCAUGGUGGAAUUGAAGAGACUUCCUAAAGAUGUUUAAUGCUGCUGAAAUCCAAAGAAGGCUUACAAACAUCCACCUGCCCUCCCUCCCUCCCCCUCCAUCCCUCCUUCCCUCCGUCCCUCCCUCCUUUCCUAAGCACACAGUGCCAUUGUCUGUGUUGUAUGAGUUUCUUCAGGUUUGAAGGAAUGGUGACCCACUCCUAUUAUCCCUAUAGGUCUUUUCUAACAGUGGGUAAGGUAAUAGAAAUGGUUGGAGGGACUGCCCAGAUGGCCUGCCCUAUAAUCCCAUAGUUAGACCAUAUACUCAAGAACUACAGGGAUGACAAGGACGGUAGCAUCCAGACCGUCAUGUGCCUCCCUAUACAGUAGGAAAUAGUGUUUCUAACUCCCACAUUCCACUCUGUGGAGCUGGGGAGAUCCAGUCAUCCCAGACUGCCAAGGACAUGGGAUUUCUUGGGACAAGAGAUUUGGGGGAGCUAAACCUGGGGCUGACUUAGGAAAAGUGUCACGAUUGGUCAUCCUACUGAGUGAACCAGUGACCAUAUCUCUUCUGCUGCAGCAGCAAGGGAAAGCUUCUAGGUUGCUUGGCCAAUUCCUAUUCAGAGCUGUAUAUCUGGUCACUCUUUGGACACAGGUCUGAGCGGAUCAGGUGCUCCAUCCUGACCAAAUCUGUUAUCUGUAAGAUGGUAAGUUUGUCUUGUACUGAAGAAAAUCUGAAGUGUCAUGGGCCAGAAAAUAUGAAGUGUCGUGGGCCAGUUGAGACCAUGUCCUUCCGAGGAGUUUGUAUACAGUGGGCAUGGCAGAAAUUCAAAAUACCUGGGAUUGCUCUAGGGCAGUCCUAUGUAGGUGACACUUACCUCUUAUUCAAAAUGAAACUGCCCUUGAAGAAGCAAACCCACAGCCACCAGGAUAGUACAGGAUGCAUGGCACCAUGUUCAUGUUUGCAUGUGUGUGUGUGUGUGUGUGUGUGUGUGCUUAACACCUGUGCAAACAUGUGCUAUAGAGAAUAAACCAAGAUCAAAAAUUUGCAUCUUCGCUAGACAGAGACAAAGAGCUGAAAUCUUAGGGACGAUGUCUGGAAAGCAAGGGACUUGGCUAGGAGACUUCCUGGAAGUCCUUUGAAGUGUAGCUUUUAUUUAGACUAUCAAGGGCAUUUCAGCUGGGGAUAAGUGUGUACUUUCUCUCUAGAGUCCUCCCCGAUAACCCUGAUAACCUGGGUUCAACUCAGAAACCACUGAGUGGGACCUCCCAGCUCACUCUCCCCUUCUCAGUCACUAGCAUCAGGGAGUGGGAGGAACUUCAAGGAGGUGAGGACGGGCGGGGUCAUGCCAAUCCAAUUCGGGGUGUUCAUGACAAGUAAGAGCAAUUGAAAGGUAAAUUACAGGUUCUUUUGCAGCUUGAAAAAGCCAGGUUUUCAGGAUCACCUGGCACCUGAAGCUGUUGCUGCCUGUCAGGGCUUUCAGCCCACAUCUUUCUGCUGAAGGCUAAGCAUGAGGGUCCAUGAUGCUGGAGCAUGGCGUCCCACUAAUUCUUCUCAUCUUGAGUUGAAGGCCACAGGCGGUUAAUUACAUACUAGGGUUGCAAUGAGAUCCAGGGGUUUUGGCAUAAUUCUUGGAUUGGGAAGAAUACUAGCCUGUAUCCUUCUCUUUGGGCACCAUCUUUGAAAAGAUGACCAUGGGAUUGGGGAGAUGGCUCAAUCAAGAAACUAUGUGAGGACCAGUGUGUGGUGGUAUACAGUUAUUAACCCAAUGCUUGAGAGACAGAUUCCUGGGCUUCACUGCUCAGCCAGCCUGGCCUACUUGGCAAGUUCCAGGCCAAUGAGAGACCCUGUCUCAAAAAAACAAGGGGGCUAGAGAGAUGGCUUGGUGUUUAAGAGUGCCUGCUGCUCUUGCAGAGGACCACAGUACAGUUUCCACUCCCCACACCAGGCAGCUCACAACUGCCUGGAGCUCAAGUUCUAGGGCAUCACACACCUUUUUCUGACCUCCACAGAAACUUUGGUCUCUGCUCAAGCACACAUGUGCAUGCAUGCAUGCUCACUCUCUCACUCUGUCUCUCUGUCUCCCUGUCUGCCCCCCCAAAAGAUGAUCAUGUUUCAGCUGACCCCCUUCAUAUGUACCCUGUCACCCUUUGAUCCUAGAAGAAGCUUUGCCAUUGAGAUAGAGACAGCUGUUUCCUACUCCCUUUUCCUCCACAUAGAGCCCCCGGAUCUCAGCAGCUAAAGUACCCUACCUCAUCAGUUUUCUGGAACAAUCUAUUCACACAGGAAUCUCCUUUUAAAUUCUGACCAGAUGUCAUCCAGGCCUGGGGAGGCAGCCUUUGGUUGAGAGGGAAUUGUGAAGGGGGCUGAACAGUAUUUACCACCAUGGUGGGAAGAAGAGAAUUUGAAAGAGCAAUUCAGAGGCUGCCACGUGGCCGUGAUUGUCAACUCCUCAACAACAUUUUUGAGCUAAUAUAUUUUGUCUUCUCCCCUAAUCAGUCUCCUAUUUUUGGAUCCUAGUGGUAUGUGUAUGCUGGUUUAAAAUAAAAAUCACAGGGCAGGGAAACAGGAGACCUGAGAUUUUGAUGUCAGAAAGUCCCUCAUUUUAGCUCCUUGUAUUUAACAUGCAGGGCUGGGCACAGGUGCCUAGGACCAUCUCCUGACGACAUUCACAUUGCUGUUGUAUUUGAAGGACAAGCCAUCAGUUUUCUAGGAGUUGGUGUCUUAAAGAUCUACUGUAUUUUCUGUAGUGGAAGAGACCAUUAGCGGAUAUCCAUGGGCCAAUGGAAAUCACCCCAUCCCCGUGCUGACCACUCUCAACCUGAUCAUGACUCAGGUAUCGUGAUCAUAACGACAUUUCAAAUUUACUCUGCUCCGCACCCCUGGGAUCUUAUGGGGCAUUUGAACUUGACUCCAAACCAUAGGAACACUCUGCUCUACAAACAGACCUGGGGACCUUUCUAUGGAGAUAUGAGUAUGGAAUUACUACAGAUGGGAAGAUGUUUAUGGGGAAGUGUGGCCUCCUGCUCAGGAGACUGCAGGGCAGAGAGUACCUUUGGAAAUGACCACCGACUCUGUAGGCUUGUGGAAAACAUGUGGAGGGAAGCCUAAGGAGAUCCUUGAACUUUUGAUAGGUUGAGGAGUGGUCUGGAUACCUGGGAUCUAGUCCUUUGCCUCAACCAGCUCAAGGUCAUGUGUCAGUCACUCCACCCUGCCUCUGUGGCUCAGUUUUUCUUCGUACAUGCAAUGGAGCAGGGAAGUAAAGACGUUGCCUGUGAGUCAGGUUUGUCGCCCUGCCUGCCCUGGCUGCUGUCUAUUUCCUGAUUGGUAGCUCACUGUCCCUUCAGCUGCACAAAUUGGAAUUAAGACUGUCCCAUCCCAGGGAAGUCCAUUACCAAAGAAUACUUCAAAGAUGUUUGCACAUGUUGUCAGUUGCACUGAGCAUGAGUUUGUUGAAGGAAAAGGCAAAUAGACACACAGCUGGUGACGGGAAAUAAUGGGGGCUGUUUAGCCCUGAGUGACUGCAAGGCAAGGGGGUAAAAAAAAACCAAGUCUGCCUGUCAUUUUGACCAAUAAGUAAAAAUGGGGAGUGCUGAAUAGUUAAAGCCAUUGGGGAUUUAUUAGUUUGCCUAGUGAAGGGCAAAUAUUAAGUCUGAAAUUGACCCAUCCUGGGACCUGCCUUUUGGCUUUUGUGACCUGCCAGGUGCUGAUCUCUGCAGACUCCAAGUUACUAAGUUCUCUUCGGUUUCUUUUUUAAAGUUGUGUUCUGUCUCCCUCUUUGGUCCCUCCUUUACCUAUCCUUUCCACCUCCCACCCUUCCCAGAAACUCAAGUAUGGAUUUUGGAGGAGGUGGAAGUCUGCCGGAUCAUAAAAUUCUUUGUACCAAGGGCUCUGACUGGCCUGGGGUUGAGCUGCCUGCAAUUGGGUGGCCUUGGGAAGUGAGCUUACUAGGUUGCCGUACAGAUUCUCCAUCUUCUGACCUGGACUUUAGAGUGCUAAUAGGCAAAGGAUUUGUCCCUCAUUAAACUUACAGUGAGUACAGUGGCAAGUGUUAGAAAGGCCAGACCAUAGCUAUUUCUAAAUCAUAACUCUCUGUCCUAGGAGACCAUACUUGCCUCUCCAUGACAAGUAACUUCAGCACGCAUGUCCAGAGAGGUACUACUUAAGGAGGGGUCCACUGGACCUAUGACUAUUAGAACAGGGGGGGAUGAGCAGUCUACCUAGCUUCCAAGAAUCAGGCAGAAUUUGAGCAUCCCCAGUAGCAAGCAGCCCACUACAUUUGUGGGGUGCUUGGGUCUCCCUUGGGGUGCAGUACUGCUGGGCACAUAGCUCUAUGUCAGACCCUCAGGGCUCUUAUCUAGAGCUGCUCCAGGAGGCUUCCCAGGAAAGUAAGUCUUCCUUCCCUGCCCCAGACUUUACAGACAACUCUCCAUCUAUUGUUCAUGCAGCCCACAGUGGGGAAUGUUCUGGAACUGCUUCAUGACGAAAGUCCCUCUCGUAUUCCAGUAAUGAGCUUUUAUUGAAUGGGGUGUGUUAGCUUUCCAUAGCUUUAGCAAAUAACAGAGAUAAUCAGCGUUUAAAGAAAAAAGGUUUAUUUUGGCUCGUUGUUUUGGAGGUUCCGGUCAGAGCCAUUGCUUGGGGACAAACCUGAGUAGAAGCCUACGGCAGAGCAAAGCCACUCAUUUCAUGGCUGGAUAAAGAAAGAAGGUCCUGAGUCCAAUUCCACAGUCUCCCCAAGGGCAUUUCCCCAAUGGCAUGAAGACUUCCAGGAGACCCAGACCUUAACACAUAAGCCUUUGGUUGGUGUGGGGUGGAGGAUAGUUCCAGAUUCAACCUGCAGCGUACCAUGUGAUUUCAAAUCCUUUGUCCCUCUGUACAGAGGAGCCAGUGUUUUGAAGGAUAGCUGGUCAGCUUGUCUCCAACUCUCCCUUUUCUAUGAAGCCUUCCUUGAUUUUUCCUUUCCUCUCAAUCAGUUGGGACAGCCCUCUCAUAUAGUUUAUGAAGCAUGUUGCAGCAUGUAUGUAAGUAUGUAUGUGUGUCCCUCCUCCCAUAGUUAGUAUCAAAUUAACUACCUUGAGGUUGAAUUAUUCUGGGUGUCUCCUCUCUGCUUUCUUCUGUCUCCUCUAACCUCUUCCGUUGGAACAAGAACCUAGUUACUCCCUGUUGAUUGGAAGUUGACCCCAGGUUGCCCCUGUGGUGUCCAGCUCUCACAAUGAGCAGUCUGGUCUGCUGUUCACAGACGUUCUCUGGUCAUUGGAAGACAGGCCCAGAGGAGCCCAGUGCCUUGUCCAAGCCUUACCCAGGUGAGGACUGGUAUUAAGCAGCAGCGGGGUCACUGACAUGGCAAAUGAACCAGCAAGGUGUGGAAUUGACUUUCCCUGUUUGCAGUCUGUCACUGCGUGUAGUGCCACAUCUGCCUGCCUUUUGUUUGCUGUCUAAUAAUCAAUAAAAUGUUAUCAGAACAGAAGAGAAAAUAUGUGAGCUUGACUGUUUGGUUUCCAUGAAGAAAGUGGAAUGCGGCUGGGUUUUCCUGGUCUAACUGCAAAGCUAGGCUCAUGUCUAAGGAGGGCGUAAAUUCAAAGGCUUAGAUCAAGGGGCCAGGGACUUGGUUCCUUUGGUAAAGUGCUUACCACAUAAGCAUGCUGGCUGCUAUAACAAAACACCAUCCAAUCCCAGUGUCUACCUGAGGUUUUCUUAUCUACUCUUCAGUUGAAUGUGAGUUGGCAUCAGUGGAUGCAGAGAAAGCUCUUUGCAGAAAUGUUGGGGCUGAAGGAGUUCUUAAUUGGUCUAUAUAAUAAAAAGGCAGAGUUAGACAUAGAGAGAAAUGCUAGAGAUCAGAGAGGAGAAGCCAGCCACAGCACACCUUACCUCCUAAGCAUCUCAGCAGAGAACAGUUUCCUGUUUCUCCCUGCUUAUAUCCUGUUUCUGCCCAGCUACACAAUUUCCUGUCUGUCUGUACAGACCUCUAGACCUCUAUGGUUAGCUAGUGGCAAGCUCCAUUCUCUGACCCCCAGACAGGCUUUAUUUGUGCAAGAAAGAUAUCACCACACAUGACACUAUUACUCCAAUCCUCUCUCUUCUGUUCACAUUGCAUUGGCAGGAAUUGGUCAGUAUGCUCCACUUGGAUGCAGGAAUCUGAGAAAUUCCCAGCUCUGUUACACAAAUGCUGGUGAACACUAGCAGUUUCUGCCACACACACACACACACCAAAUAUCCACUGUGACAACUGGGGUGUCCUUUAUUGCUUUCAUCAUGGUGGCCUUUCUGCUCCAUAAAUUCUGGCCUCUUGAAUGUGCUGUUGUCACAGCUGGUAUAUAUAGGUUCAAAGGUAUAAGGAAAGCAAGGCAGAGAUGAAGCAAAGCAGAGCCCCGAGUUUCACUUACUUUCAGCAGUGACCCCAUGUAAUUCAUUCACUCUUUCUGUGUCUUGAUUUCCAGUGUGUGCGUGCAUGUUGCAUGUAUGUAAGUAGGUGCUGAUGCACAUGUGUGUAUGUGUGUGGAAGCCAGAGGUCAAACUUAGGUGUUAGUCAUAGGAGCUGUCCACCUUUUUUUUUUUUUUUUAAGCAGGGUCUCUCACUGACCAACCGGCCUGUCUGUCUCUGCCUCCUCAGUCCUGGGAUUACAAGUGUGAACAUCUAUGCAUGGCUUUGUACAUGGGCACCGGGGCUGGAACUCCGGUCUCCACGCUUGCAUGACCUUACCACUUCAAUUUCCCAGCUGAGUCAUCUCCCUAGCCCCAGUUUCCUCCUCUGCUCUGCUUCUAAGUGGUUCCGAAGUCUGAGUGUUGGCAGUUGGAACAGAAUUUGAAGCAACAGCACCCCUUCCAUAUGUCAUCUUGGCUUUAUUUAUUCAGGGCAAGUGUUCUUGAUAUCCAUUGCUUGGGAACCAAGUAGGAUGAUUAAUCUUAAUUGUCAACUUCACCCGAGUGACACAUAGGUAGAAGAUAGUUCAUAAGGCACACCUCUGAGUGUGUCUGCCAUGGCUUUUCCAAGGAAGAGUAGGUUACCAGCACUCUGACCUAAUCAAUGGUUUGAUCCUUGAUAGAUUUAUAGUUGAUGACAUCAUUAAGAAGUGGUGGAAGGUAGGUGGUGGGGUCUAGUUAAAGGGUACAGGUGCCUGGCUCAUGUUUCUCUGACCACUUCCUCAAUCAAUCUCUUUCUUUCUCUCUCUCUCUCUCUCUCUCUCUCUCUCUCUCUCUCUCUCUCUCUCUCUCUCUCUCUCUCUCUCUCCUCCCUCCCUCUCUCUCUCUGUCUUCUCUCCUCUCUCUCCACUCUCUAUUUUCUAUGAAGAGACGCCUCUGGGUUGUGUUACCACCACCAGGACAUUUUGUGCCAGUACACCAUGGUGCCAAGCAAACAUGGACUGAACUCUCUGAAACCAUGAGCCAAAAUAGAUCAGAUUUUACUUUUAGAUUGCAUUGUCAUUAUUUUGUCACAACACAAAAUCUGACCAACUUAAGAAGUGUUUGUAGAGCCACUGAAUGAUGACUCAGUGAGUGCGGGCGUUCACUGCCAGUGCCCUGAGUUCAAUCCCUGGAACCGUGCGAUGGAGGGAGAGAACUGACUUGUGCAAAUUGCCUUCCCACUUUCACAUUUAUGUGAUGUCAUGCAUGAAAUCAAUAAAUAAA